GGGAGGCAUGCUAUUGAUCAAAAUAUAAUGUACUAUGCACCAUAAUUCAAAUCAAUGAUGAGAGACUAUUUAUGAAUGGAUGCCUCAAUGCAAGUGAUCUGAGUCUGAGAUACAGAAAUCUGGGGGGGCAUGCUGUUGAUCACCAUACAAUAUACCUCGCACCGUCUCCAUUUUGAGUUCAUCCACACUUCUGAGCACCUGAGAAACCAAUUGCACAAGAACGAUAAGGCAAUAUUGGGAUUUGAGCCAUGGAAUACAUAUAGUGACAUGGUUGAUUUCUAGCAUUAAGCUACUGGAUGGUAUUUUGUAUGAUGGCUUUGUUUAAUUCCGACUGGAACUGGAGAGAAAUAAGAUGGGGAUAAAGCCAUCUUUCCACUUGAAAUCGGAAGAGAAAGGAAACAAAAUCCAUUUGAUGCUACCCGAAAACUCCCAAAAGGGUAAGAACAAAUGCAUUUUUUGCCAUAUCUUUCAUUUAUAUUAAAAACAUCUGGACAAUUCAAGUUCAUUCAACUUGAGCCCUUCAAGCAUUAAAUAAAAACGAAUGCUCGGUAGGAUAUCGAAUAUACGCUUGUUGGAGACUUUAACGUUCCGUUAGGACAAAAGUUUACGUAUCAAUUCUAAUCUUCGCUGAACAAAUUAUACAAAAUAUUUGAAGAAUGUAAAGAAUUACAAUCUUUUUCCGUGU